AUUGAACGCUGGCGGCAUGCCUUACACAUGCAAGUCGAACGGCAGCACGGGAGCAAUCCUGGUGGCGAGUGGCGAACGGGUGAGUAAUACAUCGGAACGUGUCCUGUAGUGGGGGAUAGCCCGGCGAAAGCCGGAUUAAUACCGCAUACGCUCUGCGGAGGAAAGCGGGGGAUCCUUCGGGACCUCGCGCUACAGGGGCGGCCGAUGGCAGAUUAGCUAGUUGGUGGGGUAAAGGCCUACCAAGGCGACGAUCUGUAGCUGGUCUGAGAGGACGACCAGCCACACUGGGACUGAGACACGGCCCAGACUCCUACGGGAGGCAGCAGUGGGGAAUUUUGGACAAUGGUGCGCAAGCCUGAUCCAGCAAUGCCGCGUGUGUGAAGAAGGCCUUCGGGUUGUAAAGCACUUUUGUCCGGAAAGAAAACCUCGUGGUUAAUACCCCGUGGGGGAUGACG
rnacentral:rRNA from 1 species